AACUAUCACUUCGUGUACAAGGACGUGGAAGGAGCUUCGACUCAAUGGGACGAUAUUCAGAGAAAAUUAGGAAACCUCCCUCCGAAGCCCCCUGCAUUCAAGCCCCCAUCCUUCAAGCCCGCCGAGGACGAAGACUCUAAACACAAAGACAAAGCCCGCCACCGCGACUGCGACUACCACCGACGACUACGACUCUGUUAAGUUCUCUCUCUCUCACUUGUUUGUUGCUCUCACUCUGCCCCUUUCCCUCUCCUUCUAAUUUUCGAACCCUAACAAGUGAUUUUUUUAAGGCUAGGGUUGGUCAAAGUCGUCUAUCUCCUAUGUGAUUUUGAUUUUGAUUCAAUUUGUUCAUUUCCAAGUUCUUUUUCUUUAAUUUAAUUUAUGUAUAAAUUUUGCACACCUUCAAACUGCACGCAACUGUAUGCUUAAUGCCUACUGAUUUUUCCUUCUCUUCUAUUUCAGUCCCUUAAUUUCAUUUAUCAAAAAAAAAAAAUUGCGCCCUUUAAUUUUCUUAUGGUGGUUUCAUCAGCAAUCCUCUUAUAAUGUAGAAACCUUGCUGGAAAUAGCUUCACUGGUGGCAUCCCUUAUUCCAUAUCUCAGAUGACUUCCCUAAAAUACCUAAAUGUUGGUCACAAUCAACUUCAGGGCCAAGUGAAUGACAUGUUUGGUGAGCUUUUAUCCGUCUCCACAUUGUUAUGAAGCAUAGACUUGGCCAUUUGCCUUUUACUGAGAAGCAAGUAGUCACUUCAACAGAUGUGUUUUAGGAGAAAAAUUAGUAGCAAGGCAUGCACUCAAUUCAAAGAAAGAGAAAUGAAGGCCUUUUCCAAGUUGCUGUUCUCAUCUGUCCAGGAUAGCACCUUUUACGAAAGCUGUGGUGUAGCUGACCUUAUAACAACUUGCUUAGGGGGAAGAAACAAGAAAUGUGCGGAGGCUUUUGCUAGGAAUGGAGAGAAAAGGUCUUUUGAUGAGCUUGAAGAAGAGAUGUUGUAGGGCCAGAAAUUACAGGGCCUGGUUGUUCUUCAUUGGGGGUUGGGGCAUUCUCUAAAAAUAAACCGUUUAGGCCUAGUGGGAAGGCACUGGUCAGGAAUGAAUAUAGCUGGAACAGAGGUGCAAAAGGGAGGGGAAAUGAUUCUGACUGAAGCUGUGGAAGAGAAAAACAGAUCAAUGUGAGAAACCUGUCUAGUAUGACAGAACAGAUGAGCAAGGCAAUGCUUGAUAGUGUUGGCAUUGCCACCGGAACUGUGAUGGCACCGGUGGUUCAGUCACAGAUGGGGAAGGCUUUCUUAGCCAUGGUUCCAGGUCAAGUCCUCUUGGCCUCACUCGAUGCUAUUAACAAACUGUAAGAUGCAACUGAAGUUGCUGAAAAACAAGCCCUCUCUGCCACCUCUGCUGCCACAACCAGAAUGGUUUAUGAAAGGUAAAAGACUUAAUAGUGACUAAGACAUGGUUUUAUAUAAAUAACAGCAGAUAUUGGUGUACAUUCACAUUUCUGGUUACUUUACAAAAAUUGGGAAUAAAACACAAUUACCUUUCUAAGUUGUUAGAAUGAGAAUUUAAAAUGACUACAAAAUUGGGUAAUUGUGUAGUAGUUCCAGAGCACCAACUUAAAAUGUAACAAUUUUUCGACAAAAUUUGUCCCAUUGAAUCAAAUUUUCAUAAAAUCAAUUUGUCUAGUUUAUCAGCUCAAUUGUUUCUCUCUUUUUUCCCAGUACAACUUGUUCUAUAUGAAUUUUUCCAGUACUUUUUUCAUUUUUUUCUCCUAUUUUUCUCUCUAACUCCAUUUGAAUUUUCAUUGCCUGGCUUUCACCAUUGUUGAGCAAACAAGUUUGGAGAAAAUGCAGGGGAGGCAACAGAAGAUGUGCUUGUGACCGCCGGACACUGUGCUGGCACUGCUUGGAAUGUCUUAAAGAUUAUGAAAGCCAUCAAUCCAGCUUCAUCAAUGUCCUCUGGAGUACUAAAGAGCACAAUCAAAGAUAGGAAAACUUAAAUCGUGUGUUGUCAAUUUAUGUAUCUAAAACAUAACAUGCUAAACAUUGUCUCUGAUGCAUCUAGCAAAAAUAAUCCUUCUCUAAAUUGGAUUAGAAAUAGUUGAUAUAUGUACUUUGUUGAAUGUUCAUGAUUCAAUUUAUUUGUUGGUUUGAAUGAUUUUUG